CUGAAAGCUUAUUGAUCUUGCGAUCCAUCUGGCUCUUCUCUGUCUUCAGGUCCUGGCACUGCUUCAGGGUUUCAUGCAGCCGCAUGCAAGCUGCUUCUUCAGCCGUCUCAUCUGGAACUGUGGGGUCUGCAGGAUAUCACCCAUGGGAGAAGCUGGAGAACCUGAGAGAAAGCUGAGGAGGGAGAAGGCCCAUAUGCAUUGGUCUCAUGAGGAACCUGAAUACAAGGAACAUCAAACUCAACGGCUAGAACUCGCCUAGACCUCCUUCUUACAUUCCUAUCAUCUACCAGCUGACCUCUUCAUCAGAAGACCAGCAGAACAAUCACUCUUUCUACUGUAGUACCAGCCGAGACCGUUGAUAUAUUCCGUACUUAGAUUCCUUAUCAUAUUUCCUGGUUUAUGUAUCUGCCUUUCCACCUAGAACAUGUGCUACGUGACGGGAAAAACAUUUUUUAAAAGACUGUGGGCCGGGCACAGUGGCUCAUUCCUGUAUUCCUAACACUU